AGUGAACGCUGGCGGUAGGCCUAACACAUGCAAGUCGAACGGAAGCACAGUAAGAGCUUGCUCUUACGGGUGGCGAGUGGCGGACGGGUGAGGAAUACAUCGGCAUCUACUUUUUCGUGGGGGAUAACGUAGGGACACUUACGCUAAUACAGCAUACGACCUACGGGUGAAAGCAGGGGUUCUUCGGACCUUGCGCGAUUGAAUGAGCCGAUGUCGGAUUAGCUAGUUGGCGGGGUAAAGGCCCACCAAGGCGACGAUCCGUAGCUGGUCUGAGAGGAUGAUCAGCCACACUGGAACUGAGACACGGUCCAGACUCCUACGGGAGGCAGCAGUGGGGAAUAUUGGACAAUGGGCGCAAGCCUGAUCCAGCCAUACCGCGUGGGUGAAGAAGGCCUUCGGGUUGUAAAGCCCUUUUGUUGGGAAAGAAAAGCAGCAUGUUAAUACCCCGCUGUUCUGACGGUACCCAAAGAAUAAGCACCGGCUAACUUCGUG
rnacentral:rRNA from 1 species